GGAUGCGAUCAUACCAGCACUAAAGCACCGGAUCCCAUCAGAACUCCGAAGUUAAGCGUGCUUGGGCGAGAGUAGUACUAGGAUGGGUGACCUCCUGGGAUGUCCUCGUGUUGCAUUCC
rnacentral:rRNA from 2 species